rnacentral:tRNA from 1 species
ACCAAAUAGCUCAGUUCGGAGAGCGUUAGACUGAAGAUCUAAAGGUCCCUGGUUCAAACCUAAGUUUUGGCA